rnacentral:lncRNA from 1 species
UUUUUUUUUUUUUUGUCUUUUUGCCUUUUCUAGGGCUGCUCCCGUGGCAUAUGGAGAUUCCCAGGCUAGGGGUCCAAUCAGAGCUGUAGCUGCCAGCCUACGCCAGAGCCACAGCAACACGGGAUCCGAGCUGCAUCUGCAACCUACACCACAGCUCACGGCAAUGCCGGAUCCUUAACCCACUGAGCAAGGCCAGGGAUCGAACCUGCAACCUCAUGGUUCCUAGUCAGAUUUGUUAACCACUGCACCAAAACGGGAACUCCUCCGUAUUUCUAUUUGAAUGGGUUUAGUAUUGCUGUAGUCUUUCAGCUUUUGUUUGCUGGAGAAAUUCUGUAUUUUCCCUUCUAUUUUAAAUGAUAUUCUUGCUGGAUAGAGUAUUCUAGGUUGCAGAUUUUUUUCCUCUCAGCCCUUGAAAUCUAUCUUGCCACUCUGUUCUGGCCUGUAGGGUUUCUACAGAGAAAAAUAGCUGAUAGCCUUAUGGCUUUGCUUAUCAUUAAUGCUUUGCUUUUCUCUUGCUGCCUUUAGAAUCCUCUCUUGAUCUUUAACUUUUGCCAUUUUUCUUAUGUUUUGGCGUGGGCCUGUUUGAGUUCACCUUGUUUGGGGCCCUCUGUACUUCCUGUAUCUUCAUAUCAGUUUCCUUUAGAUUUGGAAAUUUUUCAGACAUCAUUUCUUCAAACACAUUUUCAAUCCCCCCUUUUUUUCUUCUCCUUCUAGAAUUCCUAUUAUUUGUAGAUUGGCCUGCUUUAUAUUAUCCCACAGAUAUCUUAUAUUGCUUUCAUGUUUUUUCAUUUGGUUUCCUGUCUGCUGUCCUGAUUGGGUGAUUUCCAUUAUUCUGUCUUCCAAGUCACUAAUUUCUCUGCAUCAUUCAUUCUGCUUUUUAGUGCCUUUAGCUCAGUUUGCAUCUCUGCACAUGAAUUUUCUAGUUUUUCAUGGCUCCUUCUUAUAUUUUCUAGUUCCUUUCUAAAGGAAUCUGCAUUACUAUUCAUAUCCUCUCUUAAUUCCUUGAUCAGCAUUAAUUCCUUCAGUAUUUUCACUAUCUCCCUUUUGAACUCAAUGUCUGUCAGACUUCAGAGGUCUGUUUCAUUGUUGACUUCUUUAGGUGAAUUCCUCUUUUCCUUUAACUGGGAUUGGUUUCUGAGCGUCUUCAUCUUGCUUAUGUUUUUCUUUGUCUGUGAGUUUAGGGAAGCCAAACUGUAGUCUUGCAAGGCUACUUCUAUGUAUUCUUUUUUUGUGGGGGGGAGGGUGGCUAUUUUUGGUGUGCGAGUUUGAAUAGUUUCUGUCUCUUUCUUUGGUGUGAGCAGACUGUUAUUUCCAGGACACUCAGUGUGUUUUCAGGGAGAAGGAGGAAGUGGGUAGGGCCAGCAGUCAGUGCCUGGUCAUUGGGUUCAAAACAGCAGCAAGGACCUGCAGGAAUGUGGUACAGGCUACUCAUAGUUGCAGGGUCCGAGUAAGUGGUAAUGAGCUCUAGGCAGAUCUACGAGGAGUCCAGAGCAUUUGGCAGUAGCAGCAGCAGUGUUCAAUUGCAAUGCCCUCCUCUGAGGUGAUUGGAACCACAGGUGAGGUGGUGCUUGUUCAGGGACCCCUAGUGGGAGCGGGCCAUGACUGCCUCUGGAGUCAGAGAUAACUGUGGUGGUUUGCCCCCACCACAUGCAGACCAUACAAGAAGCACCCUGUUCUGCCUAUCCCCCACAGGAGGUGCUGCGCCAGCUGCUCCUAGUUGUAGGGUCUUGGGAAGGGACAGAUGACCAUCUCUGGGUGCUGCCCAGAGCAUUUGGCAAUGGCAGCUGCAGGGCAGGUGUGUUCCCAGGGGAGUGAGAGCAAAAGUGUAUGGUGCUUGGGUGCAGUGCCCUCUUCUUUUUGCCAACCCCUGAGGUGACUGCAGGUGGAGCCCACUCACAUGUCCCCAGUGGUGGCAGGCCAUGCUUCUCUCUGGCCUCUGAGGCAACCGCUGAGGCCUGUCCCUGCUGCCUGUAGAUGGUGCAAGAGGCACCACACAGCACUCAGCCCCCUGAUGCUCUUAGGCCACACAAGAGGUGCCUGACCACUGGCAGCCUGCAGAAGAAGUGCCCAGUCUCCCUUCGAGGAGCAAGAGGCUUCUCACCGCCUGCUGGGAACCUGCACAGAGCCACCUGGUCCUCUGAGCCUGGGGCAUGGGCAGCUCUGGUGCCUGGAGCUUCCUUUGGGUCCACCCAUGCCCCUCCCUUCCCCAGCAAUGGUGCCUGGCCUCUCGUCCUGUGCUGCACAGCUGCUUAGCCCCUCAGGCUGUCCCCACAUGCCAGCCUCAGUCCUCUCCCCAGGACUCCCCUCUGGAGCCAGAGUCUCAGCACCCAGCCCCUGUCUGCGCAUCUCUGGCUGGGGUGUCCCGGCCAGUGGUUCAGAUGCAGCUCUCACUCUGCUUUGCCUUCCUCAGUCCAGCUGCUUGUGAACUCCUUGUUCUUUUGGAUGCAGUGGUGAAUAGGGUUGUUUUCGUUCUUUUCCUGAUGGUUCAGUAUGAAUGUUUAGAAAUGCAGUGCCAGGAGUUCCCAUCGUGUUUCAGCAGAAAUGAAUCUGACUAGCACCCAUGAGGACAAAGGUUUGAUCCCUGGCUUCACUCAGUGGGUUAAGGAUCCCAUGUUGCCAUGAGCUGUGGUGUCAGUCACAGACUCGGCUCGGAUCCUGCAUUGCUGUGGCUCUGGUGUAGGCUGGCAGCUACAGCUCCAAUUAGACCCCUAACUUGGGAACCUCCACAUGCCAAGGAUACUGCCCUAAAAAGACACACACAAAAAAAGGCAAGGCUCACAGAUUUCAGCGAGUGGGGUGGUUUCGAGUGGGGAGAGAGCCCUGGGAGACCUUGAGAUAGGCUUAUCCCCACCUGCAGUGCUUCUCAGUGUACUGAGAGGGAGAGGGUUAAGGAAGUCAUGCUGGCAAAUGCCCCAAGGCCAGUGGGGACAGGGGGUCUGUAUUAGGAAACAGUAGGAAAAGUGGAGCAUUGGUCUCAGAGCACAUGGCCACCAGAUGGUGCCAGACACCAGCAGAGUCCCUCUGCAGCUCCCUGGCUGUGCCUUCAGGCUCAGAGAUGGGGUUGGAGACAGGUGGGUUGAACCUCAUGGAAGUGCCCAGGGCCUUGCACCUGGGUACAUGCAGCCUCUGAUACUCUGGCCCUCUUUGCCUCAACUCAGAGAGGGGACAUAGUUCCCCUUUCACACCUGUGGUUCCAUUCCUGUCUGGUUGGGCAGCCCAGUGCCUAGAGAGUUGGACAGGCUAUCAGGGGGCUCUGAGGGCCCUUUGAUGACUUGGAGGCAGCAUUCUUGGUCCAGAUGUACCUGGCUUGAAUCCUGGAGGUGCAGCUUCCUAGAAUCAGGCUGGCAUGGAAUUUGGCUUCUGGUCAUGAGCACAGUGUGUCCACGUGGUGGUAUUUUGGGGGCAGGCUGUGCUCAUCCCUGUGCCCUUUCUCUCCAGAGAGCUCCACACUCGCCUUCUUCCUUCUCCGUCUGAGCCUCUUCCUCCUCUGUGGCACCCUCGUUAGAAGGAAGCUACCUGAAUCCAGGUCAUGUGGAUACAAGCUGGGUGGUCCUUGAUUUGUCUGGAUCUCAGGUCUGAAGGGUGCUGAUGACUCAAAGCCUGCUCACUUGAUUUAAAAAGAGGGGUUGCUGAUUUCAGGGCAUAGGGUGGUGUCGGGUUGGGUGAGAGGCCCAGCCAACUUUGCAACUGGUAUUCAUUUUGGGGCACUGAGAGGAGCAGGUAACUCACGCUGGCAGGUGCCCAAGGCCAGUGCAGACCAAGGUUCUGCUGUGGGAGGCGGAGGGAACUCUGCACGUCCAGUCUCUGUUGAUCUUGGAGCCUGGGGGUCUAUCACUGUACUUCGCACCUUAUUGGAGUUUCCUUUCCCUUUGGCCAACAGCUCUUCUUUUAGCUCUCAGCCAUGCUUCCUGGCUUGACCUGACUGCAUUAGAGCAGUCCAUGCUAGGAGUAUCCUGCUGAUAGCUGUCUGGUUCCCAGAACAUGAAAGGCAGGUGUCUUGGUUCCCUUCUUGGGGCUCUUCAAGCAGCAUGGUUGGGAGCACAUCUUUUUGGAUGGACUGCAUCCCCUUCAGAUGCUGGGUGAGUGUCUGUGGAAAUCUGGGGGAGAACCUGACCUGAUCGGCCCAGCAGGGACCCCAGGAGCUGCAGGCCCCUCAACCCCUCUGCCAACUUCAGAAUGGCUUCCCCAGGGGAGAUGCUUCACCAGGACGAAAAACACCUUGAGAUAGCUCAGACUUGUGACAGCUUUGGUCACUAGGGGUGACUUGAGCCCGAUGCUAAGGCCACUAUGUCAACUGCCUCUCUUCCCUCUCUUUCUCUCUGAAUUUUUGGUGUCUUUCUCUCACUCUUGUUUCCACUUUCUCCCCAUUUUAUGCUCAGCCCUCUCUCUCUCUCCCUGUCUGUCUUCCUUUUGGUCUCUGUCUCCUCUGUUUUUGUUGCUGGUGGACGGUGGAAAAAGCCUCCUCUUUUUGUGGUCGCCCAGUAGAAGCACUGGAGCAUGGGGGUAGGUGGGGUUGGGGCCGGGAUGUGCAUUACAACCUGGGGAAGUGUGCAAAGUCUGUUCCCAGGGGUGAACCCAGUUUGGCCAUCCCACGUCCUAUCUGAAUGACCAGGACUCAGCUUCCCACUAGGAGCAUCUUUAGACACGGAAAGCCAGGAAGCCCAGGAGAGCCCGAGGGGUUUGAGAAGCCAAGGCAAAGACAGCUGGUCUUUCCCUCUCUUUCUUUGUUGUUUCAGGUGCAACCCUGAUCAUGCAGAACCCAGAGUCCUACAAGGCAGGGAGAGCAGAGCACGACGAUGCGUGGACAAUGGAAAGGUGUGACAACGCAUUCUGGGGAGGGGAAAAGUGUUAACCUUGGGAUUCACUCUCAGAUUUUGGAAUAGAGAAAAUACUCUUGCCACCCAAUUCUGCAGCACCACAUCUUCCUUCUGUGGACAAAGAAAUGUUUCUCUUGGCCUUUGCCGAAAAAUCUGCACGUUCAUGCCUUCUCUCAUGUUUCCUAUCUCUGCCUUCCAUACUUGGGUAUGCCAUUCUUUAUCCUCCCAAGGGAUCCAUUAACACAAAACACACUUGCUUUGCAAUCAAAGUGUACUUUAUUAAAAUUACUUUUACAGUUUUUAUCUGUGUCUCAUUCGGUGUCACUCUACAUGUUUUAAAAAUACCAACUCCAGGCAUGGGAUAUAAAGAAACAUGUCAGAGACAUGAGGAGGGAAAAGGUGAGAUAUGGAUGUUCCAGCAGCCAGGGUCUGGGCAUGCAAGGCUCGGCCAACCAUGUCAUCCUGAAAGAGGGAGCGUGACAGAGUUCCCAUGGUCAAAGGUACAAACCGACAUGAGGCCACAGAAUCCUUGGAAAGAAACUGGCUUGAGGGCAGUUGGUCAGGACUAAAUCCACAGUCCCCUUCUUCAGUCAGGACUGAUGCGGGUGACAGGACAGGGGGUGGACACUAGGGUGACUGCCUGACUCCAGUGCAUUAAGUUCUACCUCUGCUUAAGGGGGCUUUCCUAUACCUGUGUUUAUUUUAUCGAAAACUAGUUUUAAAAAAAGCAAAUGGAUAGGUAACAAUUAUUUAAUACACAAUCUUACAUUCUACCAAAAUCUUAUAUACCAAGUAGUAAACAUG